rnacentral:ncRNA from 1 species
GUAACUAAGAAAAUGUAUUUUGGCUAGAAAUUGAUGGUAACUAUACGAAAAUAAAUAUGUAAGUUAUAAAAUUUUACAAUUGUUUGAUAAAGUUAAGAAUUUUAGGACCAUGGAAUAUAUGUGCCAGCACAUGCGGUCAUACAUUAGGUCCAAGUCAAUAAUAUAUAACUGGUUGGACUAGACUGUAAAUGUUGAAUAAUAAAGAGUUAGUCAGUGGAAUGAUUAUUCUUAUUUAUCCUAUUGGUUUAUGAUUGUAAUAGUUACACAGUUGUGGCUAUAAACUAGGAUUAGAUACCCUAUUAUACACAAAUAUGCCCCUAAACCAAGGAAGUAUUGGGUUACUCCAUGAAAACUAAUAGAGUAUGGCGGUCAAUAUCCUGAUCAGAGACUCAUGUUUGUAAUCGAAAGUGCACGUUUAUCUUACCUUGUUUCAAAUUUUGUACACCGCUGUCGGAAGGUUGUAAUGUGUUUUAUGAUCAAUUACUAUGAAGAGUAAUAAGUCAAGUCAAGGUGCAGACGAUAACAAGGCUUUAUGUGAGUCAUUGUAUAAUCGACGAAAUGAGGUUGCAAUACCUCUCGAAGAAGAAUUUGAUAGUAAAUGCGGUCUAUGAAACUGUAUUGAAUAAAGUAAAUAUUGAUGUACAAAUCGCCCGUCAUUCCGGAUUGUAUCUGGAUAAGUCGUAACAAAGUUGUUCUACUGGAAAGUGGAACAGGAUAAUAUACAAAU